CACAGCAUGGACAUGAGGGUCCCCGCUCGGCUCCUGGGGCUGCUGCUGCUCUGGCUCCCAGGUGUGCGAUGUGACAUCCAGGUGACCCAGUCUCCAUCCUCGCUGGCUGCCUCUGUAGGAGACACAGUCACCAUCAACUGCAGAGCCAGUCAGAACAUUUAUAAUGCUUUAAAUUGGUAUCAGCAGAAACCAGGGAAAGCUCCCAGGCUCCUGAUCUAUUUUGCAAGCAAUUUGCAGUCUGGGGUCCCAUCGAGGUUCAGCGGCAGCGGAUAUGGGACAGAUUUCACUCUCACCAUCAGCAGCCUGCAGCCUGAAGAUGUUGCAACUUAUUACUGUUUACAGUAUCAGAGUUCCCCUCCCACAGUGGUACAAGCCAUGACACAAACCUCCCAGGAAGCAGAAGUGUGA